rnacentral:rRNA from 1 species
AACGAACGCUGGCGGCGCGUCUUAAGCAUGCAAGUCGAACGGCAAGAGAGAAGCUUGCUUCUCUCCUAGAGUGGCGGACUGGUGAGGAACACGUGGGUAAUCUACCCUUAAGAUGGGGAUAGCUGUUAGAAAUAGCAGGUAAUACCGAAUACACUCGAUAGUUCAUAAGAAGUAUUGAGGAAAGGAAGCUACGGCUUCGCUUGAGGAUGAGCUUGCGUCCCAUUAGCUAGUUGGUGAGGUAAUGGCCCACCAAGGCGACGAUGGGUAUCCGGCGUGAGAGGGUGAACGGACACAUUGGGACUGAGAUACGGCCCAAACUCGUACGGGAGGCAGCAGCUAAGAAUAUUCCGCAAUGGACGGAAGUCUGACGGAGUCGACGCCAGCGUGGAUGAAGAAGGCUGAAUAAGUAUGUAAAAUCCUUUUGUUGAUGAAGAAUAAGGGGAAGAGGGAGUGCUUCUCUGAUGACGGUAGUCGGCGAAUAAGCCCCGGCUAAUUACGUGCCAGCAGCCGCGGUAACACGUAAGGGGCGAGCGUUGUAUCGGAAUUAUUGGGCGUAAAGGGCAUGUAGGCGGUUAUGUAAGCCUGAUGUGAAAUCCUGGGGCUUAACCCCAGAAUAGCAUUGGGUACUGUGUAACUUGAAUUACGGAAGGGAAACUGGAAUUCCAAGUGUAGGGGUGGAAUCUGUAUGAUAUCUUGGAAGAACACCGGUGGCGCAAUGGCGGGUUUACUGGCCGAUAAUCGACGCUGAGAUGCGAAAGUGUGGGGAUCGAACAGGAUUAGAUACCCUGGUAGUCCACACCGUAAACGAUGUACACUAGGUGUUGGGGCAAGAGCUUCAGUGCCAAAGCAAACGCGAUAAGUGUACCGCCUGGGGAGUAUGCCCGCAAGGGUGAUACUCAGAGGAAUUGACUGGGGGCCCGCACAAGCGGUGGAGCAUGUGGUUUAAUUCGAUGGUACGCGAGGAACCUUACCUGGGUUUGACAUCUAGUAGAAUGUCUUAGAGAUACGGGCCGGGUAGCAAUACCCUGCCAGACAGGUGCUGCAUGGGCUGUCGUCAGCCCGUGCCGUGAGGUGUUGGGGUUAG